rnacentral:rRNA from 1 species
GUGGGGAAUAUUGGACAAUGGGCGCAAGCCUGAUCCAGCCAUGCCGCGUGAGUGAUGAAGGCCCUAGGGUUGUAAAGCUCUUUCAGUGGGGACGAUAAUGACGGUACCCACAGAAGAAGCCCCGGCUAACUUCGUGCCAGCAGCCGCGGUAAUACGAAGGGGGCUAGCGUUGUUCGGAUUUACUGGGCGUAAAGCGCACGUAGGCGGAUCGAUAAGUCGAGGGUGAAAUCCUGGAGCUCAACUCCAGAACUGCCUUCGGUACUGGCGAUCUUGAGUCCGGAAGAGGUGAGUGGAACUCCUAGUGUAGAGGUGGAAUUCGUAGAUAUUAGGAAGAACACCAGUGGCGAAGGCGGCUCACUGGUCCGGUACUGACGCUGAGGUGCGAAAGCGUGGGGAGCAAACAGGAUUAGAUACCCUAGUAGUCC